rnacentral:rRNA from 1 species
GGGCCCGCACAAGCGGUGGAGCAUGUGGUUUAAUUCGAUGCAACGCGAAGAACCUUACCAGGGCUUGACAUACUACAGAUUCUUUUGAAAAAGAGAAGUGCCUUCGGGAAUGUAGAUACAGGUGGUGCAUGGCUGUCGUCAGCUCGUGUCGUGAGAUGUUGGGUUAAGUCCCGCAACGAGCGCAACCCUUAUUUUUAGUUACCAAUUCGUUGGGUUUUUUAGAAAGACUGCCGGUGACAAACCGGAGGAAGGUGAGGAUGACGUCAAGUCAGCAUGCCCCUUAUGUCCUGGGCCACACACGUGCUACAAUGGUAGGUACAGAGGGAAGCCACCCCGCGAGGGGAGCGGA